rnacentral:rRNA from 1 species
UACGAAGGUCCCGAGCGUUCUCCGGAUUUCUUGGGUUUAAAGGGCGCGCAGGCGGCUCACUUUGUCAGGCGUGAAAGCCCCGGGCUUAACCUGGGAACUGCGUUUGAUACGGAUGGGCUAGAGUUCGGGAGAGGAGAGCGGAAUUCCCAGUGUAGAGGUGAAAUUCGUAGAUAUUGGGAGGAACACCGGUGGCGAAGGCGGUUCUCUGGGCCUUACCUGACGCUGAGGAGCGAAAGCGUGGGGAGCGAACAGG